GUGGGGAGGAGGAUUUUUCUCUGAGUUCUCUGUGAGCAGGUUUUUAAGCAAGUUGAACUAAAUUAGUGACCGUGGGGACUGGUUUAGAAGGUAUUCUAACCUGAGCGAGAGUGUGAUCAAGCUUCGGAUUGUCUUGAGUUGACUUAGAAGAGCUUUUGGGAGCUUUUGGAGGCUUAAUUUGAGGUAUUGAACUAGCCCAAACCAGGGAGUUAACCUUUCACCUUGUAGUAAUUGAGAAUUUUGCCGAAAUUGGAAUUGUAAGUACUCGGCUCGGUGCAGUUUUGUUACCUUGUUUUCAGCAGGAUUGGGAUCUUGUUGAGCUGAUUAUUGGGACAUCUUGUGACUGAUUUGGGCUUAGUACGAGAGCCCGCUUCAGGAGAGGCUAGGGACCGUGGCAAGGGAGUCACGUCUAGCUAGAUAUAGCAUUGGAGCAUGUUAGUGAUCACCUUGUUGCUCGGGCUUCAGCCGAGGGUGAUGUCCCUGUGUAUAGAGAGACUACCAGUAUAUAUUUGUUUUGAGUAGCCUAUGAUGUAUAUGAGUUCUGGAUCCAGAGAUUAUAGUUUUAUAUUUCUUUAUGAUGUGAAAUUUUGUGAUUGGUUACUCUUUGUUCUGUUGAUAAUGUUGUAGACUUGUACUUUGCUCUGAUA